AAUCCAAGUAUAAAACAUUCUUUUGGAAUAUGACAAAGCUAAGUUCGUAUAAUUAGGUUUGGCGAACAAGUAAGAUAUUAAGUUUAGCUUGAGUUCUGUUUGGCCAAUUAAGAAACAGGCAACCUAGAGUUCAACUCAGCUCACUCAAGCUCAGCUCGAAUUAGCUUUAAUAUUUACAUAUAAAUAAUUUUUGUAUGCUAUACAUUAAUUUAGUUAUUAUUGUCUACAUAAAUAAUAGAUAAUUAAUUAUUUUUAUAUAUUUCA
rnacentral:lncRNA from 1 species